GUAAAAGUCUAGCCUGGAUAGCACGUCUCAUUCCUAAAGAGAAGGUCCUGGGUUCAAAUCCCAGCUCG